rnacentral:lncRNA from 1 species
UUGAUGAGUCUUGGAGUUAGCUAUCAAUUUAGGUUUGAGAUAUGGAUGGCUAGAAUUAAGUGCCAACUAAUAUGAUGCACUGGGAGAUAUUGAUCUUACUAGAUAUUCAUUAAGACAGAAGAUGGCGCAUGCAUUGUAAGUUAUUAUCUGGGCCAGACUUAUUAAAAUGAAUUUUCCAUAUGGAUUUCAUUGCUAUUUGAUCAGCUACAUGUCUCAGUUUUAUUGAGUGUUUUGCUUGCUGGCUCGGCCUUUUUACCUAACAGAUUUCAAUAUAUUUGGGCAGGAGAGCAUUUGUUAUUUUUUCCUCAGAGUUAACAUUAUAUGAGGUAGUUGAGAACUUUGGUGUUUGUGUGUGUGUGUGUGCAGAGUGAAGUUAUUUCUUUCUCUCUAGCAAUCCAUAGGCUUCAGAUGUUAAUCCAGAUUCUUUAUCAGUCUAAUACCAAAGCCCAUUUUCUAAACACUUCACUUGAAAAUUUUGUACUUUAAAGGAGAAAUCAAAGAAGAGUGGUCCUUAUAGAGGUACUGCAUCAAGUAUGUAUAUAUAUGGCAUGACAUUGAGAUGAAUGCUAUUGGAAUUGGGAUGUAAUUCUACUAAAUAUGUACUCUCUCCCCCUUGGGUUUCUUUUAUCAUUACACUUAAAGUGUGGGACUAGUGGGUGAACCCAAUGACUUGGACAUUAAUGGUAAAUCCAGACUCUGCAAAAAUAGGAACACACGCCAAAUAAAAAAGAGCUCAUGAAAUUUUAGUUACUGAGUAAUUUGUGCCCAAAAACAUACUACUUUCUGUGUACAAGUACUCGAAAUAACUACAAAUUACAGUUAGUUAUCUAAAAUAGCAUCCCAAAUUAAUUGCAACUUAAUGAUGUUUAGCAUAUCACACUCUCAUGAAUAUAUGUUAAUUAACUACUUCCGCUGCAUAAAAAUGCAUGUCUUAGAAAACAAAUUGUUUCAAUAAAUUUAUUUUUUAUAUUUUUAAUGCAUUUUUAUUAACAAAUUAUGUUUAAUUGUAUUUUUUUUAAAACUGAAUUUUAUAUUAGUUUGGAGUUAAGAAAAAUAGAUGAUCACAGAAAAUUAUAUAUUUAAUAUUGAAAUUUUGAUAUGUUUUAUUAAUAUGUGUAAAAAACUAAAAUAUGUAUCAUUUUAAAACUGAAAGAGUAUAUAUUAUA